GCCAACAGCCAAGGGGGAAGGAGCUCUGCUAGAGGAAGCUAAGUGAAGAGGCUUGACAGCCCAUCUCCUGCUUCUGGAAAUACAUGGUUCACUGGAGCCCCCUUUAGUCAUAUGAGCACAGGUGAGGCUAAGAACUCCUGAAUCCUGGAGCUGCUGCUGAUUUGCCAUAUGACAGUGGCUGGACAUUGCUUCCCACUCUGAAUUCCAGCUCAUGACCACGUCACCAUUUUCUGCUUGGAGGAUCAACCAGCAUUCAAGACUUUGGAAGCCCAUCCAUGCCUCCUUUCCCUGUAAAUUUAGUAAAAGACCUUAGUAACCUUGGAGAUUCCUGCUACACCUGGACCAGCACUACCAUACUGUGGUCUGGGGAGAGGCACAGGUCCAGGAAACCCUCAGUAAGAAUCACAGGAACAAAGAUGUCUAUGAAAUUGCCAUCCCAGAUGGCAGCGAGGAGUCACCAGAGUGUUGUAGUGCUGCUUCAAAUGCCAGGACAGAGGGCUACAAAUAGUAUUAACUGCCAUGUGCUUCCUAGCUGUGCUACAGCUCCAUCAGGCCAUGCUCCACAACACACCUCAGGACCAUGGGCAGCUGCACUAAGAAGCUUGUGUUCAAACAUUCUUAAGACCCAGGAACUUUUGCCAGGCAGGAGCCCAGGUACUCUCUGCAGCAUCCUAAGCCAGAUACCAAGGGCCCUACUCCUGCUACCAGCCAGCUGGUACUCCCCUGCCUGAUACCUUCAAUGUCGUCCUGAGCAACUGCAGAGAAACAGACAAUAAGAGCACCGUGCACAUGCUUUUUCAAUUGGCUGUUCACACUUGCCAAUGCAUGAAGAGCUAGUUUAUGUUGUUGUGCCCAGGGGCCACAGUCACAGGAUGACAUGCCUUGUUUGCCUUGCCAAGCCUUUCACAGGCAUCUGGUGCCCUUGAGGUUCUGGUGACUGUUAGCUGUCUGUUACAGCAGUGCACAUCCAGGAGUAUUAGCACAGUGAAACAAGCAAGAAAUAGCAUGUUCCUCCAAGCAUGCUAUUUGGAACUCAUUUACAAGCAUGAGUUAGAACUCAGUCUCCUGCUGCACAGCCAUUGCUCCCCCAGCCCAGACCCCCUGACCCUGGCAGAUGCCCAUAAUGC